AUUUUUCUUAAAACACCAAUCUCCAUAGAUCUAAGAAAAAUCAAACACCAAAAUCACUUUCUUUUUAAAAUUCGCAAAGUUCAGGUCAUCUUCACACCAAACAACUUACAUAAGCAUGUAGAUCUCUUCAAUAUCGAUUAUUGAUUUAAAUAUCAUGUCGAAUGUCUGGUGAGAAGUUUCACAACAUAUUUAUCGCCACUCAUUUCUACCAGUCAUCCAUCCGCCUACCUCAAAAUGGCCCCAAAACUUACCACUUCUUCCCCUAACCAUCCUCUACAUGAACCCACAAAUAAUUUCCUUUUAUUCUUAACCAAACUUCAUAGAGCUGUUACUUUCUUUCUAAAAUUUAAAGGUUUAAGUAAUAUUCAUCCCACACAACGUACAUAGCUAUGUAAAUCUCUUCGAGAUCUAUCGAUUGAUACAAAUUACAAGCUAAAAUGCCAACAAAAAGUGUUCUAUGAACUUUCUCAGCAAAACCACUAACGACAUCAAAACACCACAAACUUCAGACACCUAACAAACAUCCUCUUUCCAUAUCUCCCAACAAAAGUUUUUUUUUUUUUGGUUACAUGUCAAAAUUGCAGUGAUGUGUUUGGAUAGAGAGUCACAGAUUCGGCGAUUACAUGAAAAAUCAAUUUUACCUACAACUUUUUCUCCAAUGCAAUUUUUGCUGCAUGUGUGGAUCGAUUUCAAUCGUGAAAGUGUGGGUCGAUUUCAUUCAGCAAGAAUCGUGACUGACUUGAGUUCAAAGCUUUGAGGACUGCUUAGGUGUGCUUGAAGAGUGUGUAUGGGUUACCUUUUGAUGUCUUAUUCAAGUAAUUCUUAUAUUAACCAUGGGUAGAUAUUAUAAAUGAUGAGAAGGCUUUCUUGAUGAAUAUGGAUUUAAGUGCUAUGUGAUGUAAAGGAAUAUCCUUUCUCUGGGUACUCUUGAGGAUCACCUGGUUGUUUGUGAAUGGGAUGUAUGGGCGACCAUUUGGUAUCUUACGUAAGUGGGUUUUAGGAUAACCUUUGGUAGGUUGCGGAUUAUUUGAAUAUGUAUUAUAUGUAAUUGUUGACUUGUAUAUUUAUGCCUCUUAAACUCUUAUUGUAAAGGUUUUUAUCUAAAUGUCAUGAAAUCAUGUUUUCAUAAAUAAAAUGUCCCCUUUUUGUGGUGUUUGCAUGGCUUC